rnacentral:lncRNA from 1 species
GCCAUUUUGCCUACAACAGGUGAAAUUUGUGGUCCUUAUGAGAGGUAGAAACAACAGUUUAAAAUGCCUGAACCAACGCAGGACUAAUUCAUUGAGUUUUGAGAAAUCUAAAAAUAAAUCUCAUGCUUCACAGGGCUAAGACCUCAGGAACAUUUGCUGAGCAUUUCUGAUGAAUCCGCAUUUUUGCUAAGCUCUCAGAAAUAAAAAAAUACAGCUGAAUGAAGAAGGCUCUACUUCCUGUUCCAGGAUUCUUACAGCUUGACUGGAAAAUGAGGGGGACUGGCUGCAGAAGGCCGCCGAGCUGGCCAGAAGCACAGUGCCCACGGUGUGGACAGCAGGAAGUGGUGCCUGUAGCAGCUCAAAACCUAUCCAUAAAGACAGAGUUUGGUCUCAUACAAGUGAAGAUUCCUGAUUUUUUUGUUUCUGAUAGCUCCACUUCUGGAUUUAUUAAAACUUUAAGAUGA